rnacentral:rRNA from 1 species
UACGUAGGGUGCGAGCGUUUGUCCGGAAUUAUUGGGCGUAAAGAGCUCGUAGGCGGUCUGUCGCGUCUGCCGUGAAAACCCGAGGCUUAACCUCGUGGCUUGCGGUGGAUACGGGCAGACUAGAGGUAGGUAGGGGAGAAUGGAAUUCCCGGUGUAGCGGUGAAAUGCGCAGAUAUCGGGAGGAACACCGGUGGCGAAGGCGGUUCUCUGGGCCUUACCUGACGCUGAGGAGCGAAAGCGUGGGGAGCGAACAGG